AUACUUACCUGGCAGGGGAGAUACCAUGAUCACCAAGGUGGUUCUCCCAGGGCGAGGCUCAUCCAUUGCACCUCCGCUGUGCUGACCCCUGCGAUUUCCCCCAAUGGGGGGAAACUUCAACUGCAUAAAUUUCUGGUAGGGGGGGGACGGCGGUUCGCGCCUUUCUGGU
rnacentral:snRNA from 1 species